AACACCUGUUGGGAGAGGGGCCUGGAGCGGCACCACCUGUGUGGUGCAAUGGUGUUGCAUGGAAGGUUCAUGUAGGCUGAGUUUUGAGUGGAUGCACGACUGUAUGAGUGUGCAAGUGGGCCAUGCAAGGUGAGUGUGUACCCCAAUCCCUGAGCCCUUGCCCUCCCCCACACUUUGAUAGUAUUUGACCAAGGUGUGACCCUAGCCCUGAGGAGCUGACCUGAGAUGAAAAGCUUCCUUCCUGAGAAGUCCCCUCCUCUGUGCAGGGAGCUCCCUCCUCAAAAAAGGAAAUAAAGAAAAAGAAAAGAAAAGAAAAGAAAAUAUAUGGUGAUGAGAACUAUUAGGAUUUCCUCUCAACAACUUUCAUAUAUAUUAUACAGUAAUGUCAACUUUUUGCAUUUAA
ensembl:scaRNA